GUUUGAUCCUGGCUCAGGAUGAACGCUGGCGGCGUGCCUAACACAUGCAAGUCGAACGAAGGUAUAUAUAGGAAGUCUUCGGAUGGAAUAUGUAUAACUUAGUGGCGGACGGGUGAGUAACGCGUAAGUAAUCAACCUGUGACACACGGAUAACUGAUAGAAAUGUCAGCUAAUACGAGAUGAACUGUUUAAAUUGGGAAAUGGAAACAGCAAAGCGAAAGCGGUCACAGACGAGCUUGCGUCUGAUUAGCUAGUUGGUGGGGUAAGGGCCUACCAAGGCGACGAUCAGUAGCCGGCCUGAGAGGGUGAACGGCCACAUUGGAACUGAGACACGGUCCAAACUCCUACGGGAGGCAGCAGUGGGGAAUAUUGCACAAUGGGGGAAACCCUGAUGCAGCGACGCCGCGUGAGCGAAGAAGGUUUUCGAAUCGUAAAGCUCUGUCCUAUGAGAAGAUAAUGACGGUAUCAUAGGAGGAAGCCCCGGCUAAAUACGUGCCAGCAGCCGCGGUAAUACGUAUGGGGCGAGCGUUGUCCGGAAUUAUUGGGCGUAAAGGGUACGUAGGCGGCCUUUUAAGUCAGGUGUGAAAGCGUGAGGCUUAACCUCAUUAAGCACUUGAAACUGGAAGGCUUGAGUGAAGGAGAGGAAAGUGGAAUUCCUAGUGUAGCGGUGAAAUGCGUAGAUAUUAGGAGGAAUACCGGUGGCGAAGGCGACUUUCUGGACUUUUACUGACGCUCAGGUACGAAAGCGUGGGGAGCAAACAGGAUUAGAUACCCUGGUAGUCCACGCCGUAAACG
rnacentral:rRNA from 1 species